AAUAAAUUAGUUUAUGUUAUAAAAUAUUUUAUUUACAAUAAAAAGAUUUUUACUUAUAAAAAAAAUUUAUUA
rnacentral:tRNA from 1 species